AUUGAACGCUGGCGGCAGGCCUAACACAUGCAAGUCGAUCGGUAACAGGAAGAAGCUUGCUUCUUUGCUGACGAGUGGCGGACGGGUGAGUAAUGUCUGGGAAACUGCCUGAUGGAGGGGGAUAACUACUGGAAACGGUAGCUAAUACCGCAUAACGUCGCAAGACCAAAGAGGGGGACCUUCGGGCCUCUUGCCAUCGGAUGUGCCCAGAUGGGAUUAGCUAGUAGGUGGGGUAACGGCUCACCUAGGCGACGAUCCCUAGCUGGUCUGAGAGGAUGACCAGCCACACUGGAACUGAGCCACGGUCCAGACUCCUACGGGAGGCAGCAGUGGGGAAUAUAUCACAAUGGGCGCAAGCCUGAUGCAGCCAUGCCGCGUGUAUGAAGAAGGCCUUCGGGUUGUAAAGUACUUUCAGCGGGGAGGAAGGGAGUAAAGUUAAUACCUUUGCUCAUUGACGUUACCCGCAGAAGAAGCACCGGCUAACUCCGUG
rnacentral:rRNA from 1 species